rnacentral:rRNA from 1 species
AUUGAACGCUGGCGGCAGGCCUAACACAUGCAAGUCGAACGGUAACAGGAAGAAGCUUGCUUAUUUGCUGACGAAUGGCGGACGGGUGAGUAAUGUCUGGGAAACUGCCUGAUGGAGGGGGAUAACUACUGGAAACGGUAGCUAAUACCGCAUAACGUCGCAAGCCCAAAGAGGGGGACCUUCGGGCCUCUUGCCAUCCGAUGUGCCCAGAUGGGAUUAGCUAGUAGGUGGGGUAACGGCUCACCUAGGCGGCGAUCCCUAGCUGGUCUGAGAGGAUGACGAGCGACACUGGGACUGAGACACGAUCCAGAGUCCUACGGGAGGCAGAAGUGGGGAAUAUUGCACAAUGGGGGCAAGACUGAUGAAGCCGUGCAGGGUGUAUGAAGAAGGCCUUCGGGUUGUAAAGUACUUUCAGCGGGGAGGAAGGGAGUAAAGUUAAUACCUUUGCUCAUUGACGUUACCCGGAGAAGAAGCACCGGCUAACUCCGUG